rnacentral:lncRNA from 1 species
GGUAGGUCAGUGCAGGGGAUAAGAUUGGAGGUUUGAGUAAGUCUGUGCAGGGGAUAGGAUUGAAAGUUUGGGUAGGUCAGUGCAGAUGGUGGAUUUGAGUAUUGAGUAGGUCAGUGCAGGGGAUAGGACUGGAAGUUUGGGUAGGUCAGUGCAGGGGAUAGGAUUGGAAGUUUUGGUAGGUCAGUGCAGGGGUCGUAAGAUUGUAAGGUUCUGAGACGUGGUAGCUUGCAGUUUCCGCACCCAGCGCACCUUGCCGUAUAUGACAAUUUGUCCCUUGUUACUAUUGCAGCACCGUGUCUGUCAUACUGUGUCUUUG